rnacentral:misc_RNA from 1 species
GCAAACUUGGUCAUUUAGAGGAAGUAAAAGUCGUAACAAGGUCUCCGUAGGUGAACCUGCGGAGGGAUCAUUACCGAGCGAGGGCGUCCGACGCCCGACCUCCCACCCUUUGUUGAUUAGACCUCUGUUGCCUCGGGGGCGACCCGGCCGUUCGGCUCCGGGGCCCCCGAUGGACCACCUAACUCUGCAUCUUUGCGUCGGAGUGAUGAAGUAAAUGAAUCAAAACUUUCAACAACGGAUCUCUUGGUUCUGGCAUCGAUGAAGAACGCAGC